rnacentral:rRNA from 1 species
AGAUUGAACGCUAGCGGGAUGCUUUACACAUGCAAGUCGAACGGCAGCGCGGACUUCGGUCUGGCGGCGAGUGGCGAACGGGUGAGUAAUAUAUCGGAACGUGCCCAGUAGCGGGGGGAUAACUACGCGAAAGCGUGGCUAAUACCGCAUACGCCCUACGGGGGAAAGGGGGGGAUCGCAAGACCUCUCACUAUUGGAGCGGCCGAUAUCAGAUUAGCUAGUUGGUGAGGUAAAGGCUCACCAAGGCGACGAUCUGUAGCUGGUUUGAGAGGACGACCAGCCACACUGGGACUGAGACACGGCCCAGACUCCUACGGGAGCAGCAGUGGGGAAUUUGGACAAUGGGGGAAACCUGAUCCAGCCAUCCGCGUGUGCGAUGAAGGCCUUCGGGUUGUAAAGCACUUUGGCAGGGAAGAAACGGCGUGACCCUAAGUACGGACGUCGACUGACGGUACCUGCAGAAUAAGCACCGGCUAACUACGUCGACCAGACAAGGCCGACCGGUAAUAC